UCAUUAAACUAAUACUGAUUCCUGCCACCCCCCCUUAUAGGAUAUUUGGGAUAUACCAGUGGCCUUUCCUUGUUGUGUAUGGUGUUCUUUCUGAUUGUGGUGGGUAUGAUUUUUUUUUUAGAAAAAAAUUUUUAUAAGCCCUGCCAUGUCACUUAGUUUAACACAUGCAAAAUAAUAUAUUUUUAGGUCAUUUGCAAGAAAUUUCAGGUUCCGUGUCCUGUGGAAGCUGCUUUGAUAAUUAACGAAACAAUAAACACCACCUUAACACAGCCAACAGCUCUUGUACCUGCUUUGUCACAUAACGUGACUGAAAAUGACUCUUGCAGACCUCACUAUUUUAUUUUCAACUCACAGACUGUCUAUGCUGUGCCAAUUCUGAUCUUUUCAUUUGUCUGUCAUCCUGCUGUUCUUCCCAUCUAUGAAGAACUGAAAGACCGCAGCCGUAGAAGAAUGAUGAAUGUGUCCAAGAUUUCAUUUUUUGCUAUGUUUCUCAUGUAUCUGCUUGCCGCCCUCUUUGGAUACCUAACAUUUUACGAACAUGUUGAGUCAGAAUUGCUUCAUACCUA
rnacentral:sRNA from 1 species